rnacentral:rRNA from 1 species
UAUUUUCCUUUUUUUCCCUCAGCAGCGGUAAUACGUAGGUGGCAAGCGUUGUCCGGAAUUAUUGGGCGUAAAGCGCGCGCAGGCGGCUUUCUAAGUCCAUCUUAAAAGUGCGGGGCUUAACCCCGUGAUGGGAUGGAAACUGGAAAGCUGGAGUAUCGGAGAGGAAAGUGGAAUUCCUAGUGUAGCGGUGAAAUGCGUAGAGAUUAGGAAGAACACCGGUGGCGAAGGCGACUUUCUGGACGACAACUGACGCUGAGGCGCGAAAGCGUGGGGAGCAAACAGG